rnacentral:rRNA from 1 species
CGUCUAUAUACGUAUAGCAUAUCAAUAAGCGGAGGAAAAGAAACUAACUAGGAUUCCCUCAGUAACGGCGAGUGAAGCGGGAAGAGCUCAAAUUUGAAAUCUUCAAGGUUUUACCUUGACGAAUUGUAGUUUAAAGAAGUGUUUUCUGUUAGGAGUUUGAGUAGCAAAGUUCUUGGAAAGGGACAUCAUAGAGGGUGAGAAUCCCGUAUUUGGACUCAUUAUCUCCAGCUUUGUGAUACACUUUCAAAGAGUCGGAUUGUUUGGGAGUGCAGUCCAAAAUGGGUGGUAAAUUUCAUCUAAAGCUAAAUACUGGCGAGAGACCGAUAGCGAACAAGUACCGUGAGGGAAAGAUGAAAAGAACUUUGAAAAGAGAGUUAAACAGUACGUGAAAUUCGUCAAAAGGGAAGCGUUUGACACCAGUGUUGUUUUCUCGAAAAAUCAAUUAAGAAAUGGCCUGAUUUUGUGUUGUAUUGACUUUAUCAGCUUUCUGCACUUUUUUCGUUAGUCUUUUUUAAUGCACUUUUUCGGUUAACAAGUCAACAUCAAUUUCUUUUGUUGUAAAAGAGGUCAUUCGGAAGGUGGCUUUCUUUUCGGAGAAAGUGUUUAUAGCCCUAUACUUCUACAAUCGGAGAGAUUGAGGUCUGCAGCGUAGAUCCUUCGGGGUUAGAUACACUUGUGCUAAGUUGUAGCUUUUCAUAGACAACUUGUUGACUAUGUUUAGUCAUGCGGCUUACUCGCUUGUGCUAUUUUACCUACGCUUAGGAUGUUGACUGAUAUGUAGUCGUA